rnacentral:rRNA from 1 species
CACGUGGUAUCCUGUCUGAAUAUGGGGGGACCAUCCUCCAAGGCUAAAUACUCCUGACUGACCGAUAGUGAACCAGUACCGUGAGGGAAAGGCGAAAAGAACCCCGGCGAGGGGAGUGAAAAAGAACCUGAAACCGUGUACGUACAAGCAGUGGGAGCACGCUUAGGCGUGUGACUGCGUACCUUUUGUAUAAUGGGUCAGCGACUUAUAUUCUGUAGCAAGGUUAACCGAAUAGGGGAGCCGAAGGGAAACCGAGUCUUAACUGGGCGUUAAGUUGCAGGGUAUAGACCCGAAACCCGGUGAUCUAGCCAUGGGCAGGUUGAAGGUUGGGUAACACUAACUGGAGGACCGAACCGACUAAUGUUGAAAAAUUAGCGGAUGACUUGUGGCUGGGGGUGAAAGGCCAAUCAAACCGGGAGAUAGCUGGUUCUCCCCGAAAGCUAUUUAGGUAGCGCCUCGUGAAUUCAUCUCCGGGGGUAGAGCACUGUUUCGGCAAGGGGGUCAUCCCGACUUACCAACCCGAUGCAAACUGCGAAUACCGGAGAAUGUUAUCACGGGAGACACACGGCGGGUGCUAACGUCCGUCGUGAAGAGGGAAACAACCCAGACCGCCAGCUAAGGUCCCAAAGUCAUGGUUAAGUGGGAAACGAUGUGGGAAGGCCCAGACAGCCAGGAUGUUGGCUUAGAAGCAGCCAUCAUUUAAAGAAAGCGUAAUAGCUCACUGGUCGAGUCGGCCUGCGCGGAAGAUGUAACGGGGCUAAACCAUGCACCGAAGCUGCGGCAGCGACGCUGAUGCGUUGUUGGGUAGGGGAGCGUUCUGUAAGCCUGCGAAGGUGUGCUGUGAGGCAUGCUGGAGGUAUCAGAAGUGCGAAUGCUGACAUAAGUAACGAUAAAGCGGGUGAAAAGCCCGCUCGCCGGAAGACCAAGGGUUCCUGUCCAACGUUAAUCGGGGCAGGGUGAGUCGACCCCUAAGGCGAGGCCGAAAGGCGUAGUCGAUGGGAAACAGGUUAAUAUUCCUGUACUUGGUGUUACUGCGAAGGGGGGACGGAGAAGGCUAUGUUGGCCGGGCGACGGUUGUCCCGGUUUAAGCGUGUAGGCUGGUUUUCCAGGCAAAUCCGGAAAAUCAAGGCUGAGGCGUGAUGACGAGGCACUACGGUGCUGAAGCAACAAAUGCCCUGCUUCCAGGAAAAGCCUCUAAGCAUCAGGUAACAUCAAAUCGUACCCCAAACCGACACAGGUGGUCAGGUAGAGAAUACCAAGGCGCUUGAGAGAACUCGGGUGAAGGAACUAGGCAAAAUGGUGCCGUAACUUCGGGAGAAGGCACGCUGAUAUGUAGGUGAAGUCCCUCGCGGAUGGAGCUGAAAUCAGUCGAAGAUACCAGCUGGCUGCAACUGUUUAUUAAAAACACAGCACUGUGCAAACACGAAAGUGGACGUAUACGGUGUGACGCCUGCCCGGUGC